GGAGCCGACCUUGAAAUACCACCCUUUAAUGGCUGGUGUUCUAACGUGGGCCCGUGAACCGGGUUGCGGACAGUGUCUGGUGGGUAGUUUGACUGGGGCGGUCUCCUCCUAAAGAGUAACGGAGGAGCACGAAGGUUGGCUAAUCCUGGUCGGACAUCAGGAGGUUAGUGCAAUGGCAUAAGCCAGCUUGACUGCGAGCGUGACGGCGCGAGCAGGUGCGAAAGCAGGUCAUAGUGAUCCGGUGGUUCUGAAUGGAAGGGCCAUCGCUCAACGGAUAAAAGGUACUCCGGGGAUAACAGGCUGAUACCGCCCAAGAGUUCAUAUCGACGGCGGUGUUUGGCACCUCGAUGUCGGCUCAUCACAUCCUGGGGCUGAAGUAGGUCCCAAGGGUAUGGCUGUUCGCCAUUUAAAGUGGUACGCGAGCUGGGUUUAGAACGUCGUGAGACAGUUCGGUCCCUAUCUGCCGUGGGCGCUGGAAGAUUGAGGGGGGCUGCUCCUAGUACGAGAGGACCGGAGUGGACGCAUCACUGGUGUUCGGGUUGUCAUGCCAAUGGCACUGCCCGGUAGCUACAUGCGGAAGAGAUAAGUGCUGAAAGCAUCUAAGCACGAAACUUGCCCCGAGAUGAAUCUUCCCUGAGCCUUUAAGGCUCCUGAAGGAACGUUGAAGACGACGACGUUGAUAGGCCGGGUGUGUAAGCGCAGCGAUGCGUUGAGCUAACCGGUACUAAUGAACCGUGAGGCUUAACCUU
rnacentral:rRNA from 1 species